UUACGGUCAAAUCACGUUGAAAACACCGGUUUCGUUCGAUCACCGAAGUUAAGCAUCGUAGAGCCAGACAAAAGUACUUAGAUGGGGACCGCUUGGGAACACCUGGUACUGUAAGC